UGGGGAAUAUUGGACAAUGGGCGCAAGCCUGAUCCAGCCAUGCCGCGUGAGUGAUGAAGGCCUUAGGGUUGUAAAGCUCUUUCGCCGGUGAAGAUAAUGACGGUAACCGGAGAAGAAGCCCCGGCUAACUUCGUGCCAGCAGCCGCGGUAAUACGAAGGGGGCUAGCGUUGCUCGGAAUCACUGGGCGUAAAGCGCACGUAGGCGGAUCGUUAAGUCAGGGGUGAAAUCCUGGAGCUCAACUCCAGGAACUGCCCUUGAUACUGGCGAUCUCGAGUUCGAGAGAGGUUGGUGGAACUCCGAGUGUAGAGGUGAAAUUCGUAGAUAUUCGGAAGAACACCAGUGGCGAAGGCGGCCAACUGGCUCGAUACUGACGCUGAGGUGCGAAAGCGUGGGGAGCAAAACAGGAUUAGAUACCCUGGUAGUCCACGCCGUAAACGAUGGAUGCUAGCCGUUGGGGGGUUUACCUCUCAGUGGCGCAGCUAACGCCUUAAGCAUCCCGCCUGGGGAGUACGGUCGCAAGAUUAAAACUCAAAUGAAUUGACGGGGUCAUAGCUGUUUCCU
rnacentral:rRNA from 1 species